UACGUAGGGGGCAAGCGUUGUCCGGAUUUAUUGGGCGUAAAGCGCUCGCAGGUGGUCCGAUGCGUCGUGCGUGAAAGACCCCGGCUCAACUGGGGGGCGUCGUGCGAUACGGUCGGACUGGAGGCCAGUAGGGGGAUGCGGAAUUCCGGGUGUAGUGGUGGAAUGCGUAGAGAUCCGGAGGAACACCAGUGGCGAAGGCGGCUCACUGGACCGGUACUGACGCUGAGGCGCGAAAGCGUGGGUAGCAAACAGG
rnacentral:rRNA from 1 species